AGUCUCUCAGGAAAACACAAAAUCUAAGGAAGUGUUUCUUUUUUAAGGUUUUAUUUAUUUAUUCAUGAGAGAUACACAGAGAGAGAGGCAGAGACCCAGGCAGAGGGAGCCCCAUCCUGGACUCGAUCCUGGGACCCGGGGGUCAUGCCCUAAGCCCAAGGCAGACGCUCGACCACGGAGCCCCCCGGGUGCCCACGAAAUCUCAGGAAGCUUGAUGGAUUCCUUCGUGCCUCGGAUUCAAAGCUUGGGUCCACUUACUGUGUCAUCAGCACAGACCCCACAGGCUGAAGGACUUGGGGACAGAUUUGCCCGAUUUUCAGUCACGUUAAAGUCCUGCUGUGUCGCCCCGCCCCGGGCCAGCAGACCUCACAGCGGGUCGCUGUGCUGCGUUCCCGGGGACAGGCCUUCGGUGUAGGCGUCAUAGUCGGACGCUCCCGCCGCGCGUCUACACCGGCCCUGCCGCGGUGUAGACGGCAGCUCCGCGCCUGGUUCCGCCGCCUGGUUCCGCCGCGUCGGUGCUGCGGGCUCAGGCCGAGCGCCCCGUGUCCUCCCCGGUCGGGGCUUUGUGUCUGGGCUUGCGGUGCGGAGGUGGCCUGGGCCCGGCGGCCGCGCCCCGCAGCAUCUCCAGGCAGCCGCGCCCCGCAUCCCCCCUGCGGCCGCGCCCCGCAUCCGCCACCCCCCGCGGCUGCGCCCGGCAGCAACUCACGGCGGCCGCGCCCCGCAUCCCCCCAGCGGCCCCGCCCCGCAUCCCCCCAGCGGCCCCGCCCCGCACCCCCCGGCGACCCCACACCGCACCCCCCGGCGGCCGCGCCCCGCACCCCUGCAGAGCAAGGCCGCCGGCCUCUCCUCCCCCGCCCUCCGGCUGGUCGCUGGCGCCGAGUGAUGCGUGCGGAGCGGGACAGCAGCUCCGGGCCUAGAGCAGGACCAGGCGUUCCCUGCGGUCUCAGAGCUUGCUGGCUCUCUGAAAGAUGUGGAAGUGAAUGGUCCAGAGGGACAGACUCAAGCCUGAGAAGCAUCAAAAAACGAUUCCCUGAGCAGUGGUGCCUGAAGAAGACAGUCUGGGGGUCCUUGCUAUGGAGACUCUGUCCCUCUAGGUGA
rnacentral:lncRNA from 12 species